GUCGAACGCUGGCGGCGUGCUUAACACAUGCAAGUCGAACGGAGUGGCGAACGGGUGAGUAACACGUGGGUGAUCUGCCUUGCUCUUCGGGAUACGCUUGGGAAACUUGGUCUAAUACCGGCUAGUGCCAGAUGAGCUCGCGGCCUAUUCGCUUGUUGGUGGGGUAAUGGCCUACCAAGGGGUCGACGGGUAGCCGGCCUGAGCGGGUGGACAGCGACAUUGGGACUGGGAGACGGCCCAGUCGGCUACGUGGGGCAACGGUGGGGAGUAUGGCACAAUGAGCGGAAGCCUGAUGCGACGGCGCUGGGUGUGGGAUGAAGGCUUUCGGGUUGGGAACGCCUUGCGACAGGGACGCGUUACCGGUAGAAGAAGCACCGGCUAACUACGUGCCAGCAGCCGCGGUAAUAC
rnacentral:rRNA from 1 species